AAACUCUGACCCAGCGACGCCGCGUGCGGGAUCAAGGCCUUCGGGUUGUAAACCGCUUUCAGUAGGGAAGAAGCGAAAGUGNCGGUACCUACAAAAGAAGCACCGGCUAACUAUGUGCCAGCAGCCGCGGUAAUACAUAGGGUGCAAGCGUUGUCCGGAAUUAUUGGGCGUAAAGAGCUCGUAGGUCGUUUGUUACGUCGGAUGUGAAAACCUGAGGCUCAACCUCAGGCCUGCAUUCGAUACGGGCAAACUAGAGUUUGGUAGGGGAGACUGGAAUUCCUGGUGUAGCGGUGGAAUGCGCAGAUAUCAGGAGGAACACCAAUGGCGAAGGCAGGUCUCUGGGCCAAUACUGACACUGAGGAGCGAAAGUCUGGGGAGCGAACAGGAUUAGAUACCCUGGUAGUCCANACCGUAAACGGUGGGCACUAGUUGUGGGAACCUUCCACGGUUUCUGCGACGCAGCUAACGCAUUAAGUGCCCCGCCUGGG
rnacentral:rRNA from 1 species